rnacentral:rRNA from 1 species
AGUGAACGCUGGCGGUAGGCCUAACACAUGCAAGUCGAACGGCAGCACAGGAGAGCUUGCUCUCUGGGUGGCGAGUGGCGGACGGGUGAGGAAUACAUCGGAAUCUACUCUGCCGUGGGGGAUAACGUAGGGAAACUUACGCUAAUACCGCAUACGACCUACGGGUGAAAGCAGGGGACCUUCGGGCCUUGCGCGAUUGAAUGAGCCGAUGUCGGAUUAGCUAGUUGGCGGGGUAAAGGCCCACCAAGGCGACGAUCCGUAGCUGGUCUGAGAGGAUGAUCAGCCACACUGGAACUGAGACACGGUCCAGACUCCUACGGGAGGCAGCAGUGGGGAAUAUUGGACAAUGGGCGCAAGCCUGAUCCAGCCAUACCGCGUGGGUGAAGAAGGCCUUCGGGUUGUAAAGCCCCUUUGUUGGGAAAGAAAUCCAGCUGGCUAAUACCCGGUUGGGAUGACGGUACCCAAAGAAUAAGCACCGGCUAACUUCGUGCCAGCCGCCGCGGUAA